ensembl:lncRNA
GAAUUAGGUACAACGUGCGCACGAAAUACUAAUUUGUGGCCACGAAGUAGGUAUAAUGUGCGCACGAAAUAGUACCUAAUACUAUUAAUAUCAUUCCUGGACAGCUGGGUAAGCAAAUCGAGCGCACCGUCUCUACAACCUGCAAUAAUCUGUGUACGGGGCUCCGCACCCUACGUGAUGUUCCUAAAAGGUCAACUAUGGAUACUCGGCUGUGAGAAUUUUUGAUGGAGCGAAACUUGAAGAUGAGAAUAUGCACAAUGAGGGACGUCUGCAGAGACUGAGAAAGAGUCUCACCACAUCCUGACAUGAGGAAAAAGACUUUAUUGAAGACUACAAUGAGAAAAACUAUCAGACAGCAGACGGCUGCAUUCAAGAGAAGAAGACCAUCAAACAUCCACAUCAGCUGAUGGAGGUCCAAGAGUCUCACCAAACAACCAACCUACAGAGUGAAGACCUCGAAUCUGAUUGGACGGCCUCCUAUUCAGCCACAUGUGUGAACAAAUGCCUCUAAGUUGAUUUGUUUUCUAAAAUAAAUCUAGUUUGAGUCCUAAUCUAUGCCUGUGUGUUUGCUUCUUUACACCGCUGUUAACAGUUUAGGCUGUUAGAUUGUUCCAGAUAAGACAAGUACAAGAUCCUGCAGAGCCGUUCUACCACGAGCCUGACAGGAAGAACUCCAACAGCUACUGAAUGUUCCUGUGGUUCCCUCAAGGCUACAGGAGGAGCCCUACGAGGACGAGCCGGUCCACCUGAUGGAGGCCAGUCGCUGCGGUUCAAAGCCAACACCGACUACGUGGACUUCUACUGGACCACAUGGAGGCCUUCAAACCGGACCAACAAGUUCAGCGACUCCCCGACUCGUGGGUCUGAGGAUGCCGCCGAGCCUCGGUCCAGCCGGCCUCCUGUCUGUGGGUGUUUGAGUGCUGAGAGGUUUGUGGAUGCAUGUGAACGUUCUGUGUUGAAACAGCAGCUUUGGACUCAGUAACGCCGGGAAAAACCAAGAGCUCCUUUAUUUGUGACUUCCACUAAAAAACUGAUGAAAAUAAGUUUGUCAGGGUUCUGACUGAUAACAGAUUAUUAAAUAAUGAAAAUAAUCAUUUAAAUAUUCCUUUAAACAAUCCUUUUAGGUCUACAUUUCCUUUACACUGACUUCUUGGUAUAUGUACAAGUAUUUUGGGUGGAAUAUACCAUUAAGCCCAAUGUUCAAGGGUUCUUCUGGGAAUAUACCAUUAAACCAACCUUUUAGGUAAAUGUUCCAAGAUGUUGGGUAGAAUAUACCAUCAGAUCAACCUUUUAGGUCUACACUGGAAGAUUUUAGAGUAGAAUAUUACUCCAAACCAUCCUUUAGCUCUACAUUUAAGGUGGAAUACUCCUUUACACCAAGAUUUUUUGGUCUACAUUGAAGGAUUUUGGAUGGAAUAUUCCUUUGAACGAACUUUUUAGGUUUAUGUUCAAGGAUGUUGGGUGGAAUAUACCAUCAGAUCAACCUCCAAGGUCUACAGUAGUGAAUUUUAGGUGGAAUAUACCAUUAAACUCACCUUUUAGGUCUACAUUUUAGGAUUUUAGGUGGAAUUUUCUUCCAAACCGUCUUUUAGUCUACAUUUAAGGAUGUUUAGGAUGGUAUAUUCUUCCGAACCAAUUUCUCAGGUCUACGUUUCAGGUGGAAUAUUCCUCCAUACUAACUUUUUGGUCUACAUUGAAGGAUCUUUUCUAAACCACUCUUUCGGGUCUAUAUUUGAGGUUUUAGGUGGAAUAUUCCUUUUAACCAGCCCCUCAGGUCUCUGAGGAUUUUGGAUGGAAUACUCGGUUAAACCAACAUUUUGGAUACAUGUCCAAGGAUUUUUGGUGGAAUGUUCCUUUAAGGUGGAUGUUUGAGGACCUUGUAGGUGGAAAACUUCCUGAAACCAACCUUUUAGGUCAACAUUCAAAGAUUUAAGGUGGAGUAUUCCUUUAAACCAACCUAAAUUUCAUGUUUUGAUCAUUAUCAAGUGAGAAACCUCAAUCCAGACUCCUCAUAAUGACGUUUGAGAUUUAUGCUGCUGUUAUUUGUUUAGUCCAGACUAAAUGACAGAAAUCCACAACUGUAAUUUUAUUUCAGGACUCGGUUAUUAAAUGUCAAAACAAUCCAUGUGACUCUAAAAACUCAACAGCUUUACAAACUCUAAGAUUAAACUCUCCACAAGGAUCCAAAAUAAGCUGGACUUCUACAUGAGAGCUUUAAUUAUUCUUCAUCUACUUCCUGAAAAGUUUGGUCAAUAAAAAAGACAAAAACUAGUAUUUUCAGCUGAACUAAAGACAGACUUUGUGAUUUUUCUGCUCACAUGUUGUGUUGUUGUAAACUUCCUCUUUCAAAUAAAUACCCACCUAACCCCCUGGAAACCAGCAUUUGUCCUGUUUUUGUGUUGCUCCUCAGUGACCCUAGACAGCCGGGUCGUAAUGUAUUUUGAGCAACACACCAUACUAUGACGUUUUUACAAUGAUGGUUCUGCUAUGGAACCAGUUUGACAUGUUCAGGCGUUCUUUGUGUGAAAACUCGGAGAUUUCAGGUAUCAGAAGGUGGUUUUCAACUUUCUUUGUUAACUUUCUGCCUCAACUUUAAACUAAAUUUCCUUCACUAACCCAGCCCUCUGGACUUCCAGUAAGCUGUGUUCCUAUUGGCUGUCCCAGUGGCUGCUAGGUAUUAUCAGGAACACCUGAGCAGCUCAGUGUCUUCCUGCUUUAUUUAGCUGCAGACAAACAUUUCCUCUGCUUCUGUUCACCACUGAACCGGGUUUGGCUCCGUUGCUUUAAUUUGUUCUUUAGGCGUUGGCUUGCAGCUUCCAGCAGUAAAAUUGUCUUUAAUGUGUUUCUUGGUGUGUUUUAGGGCUUUGUACUGGAUAGUUGUCUUGGUAAAUGUGGUUCUUUAGCCACAGUUACCACAUGGUGCUACUGUGUGCAGUGAUUAGUGGAUUUGGUGCAGCUGAGUUGUGUCUUUAUCUUGGCUGUAGUGAGUCUUCAGAGGUUUUUGGUCAGACACAUUCUGUAUUCUUGUUUGAGAACCAUCGUUGGUUGUCCAGAAGGUAAGAGUUCAUGUCCUGAUUCUCUGUUCUCAGAGGUUCUCUGGUAGGCUGCAGGACACUUUAGCGUUUGG